CUCUCAGCUGGAUGAAGUCUACAGUAGAUGGAGCUCUCUCUGUGUAUACGUGAUAUGAACCUCAUAAAAACUGGCGACAUGGGUCACAUGUCAAACUUUGUGACGCUACAGCUUCAACUAUGGACAACAUAUAGUCAGUUUUAAUCUGAUGUCGGCUGGGGGAGAGGGGACUUGGAAGCUAUUCAGCAAUCCAACAAGCACUCCUGAUGAGUAUAUUGGCUCAUUAUUAAUUCCUCCUCUAAAGGGACACCGGAUAUCCGGACCAUGGGUUGUAACGGGAAGCCAGAGCGCCUGAGCUACGGCCUCAAAAACUAUGGAAGUGAAAAUGUAUCCACUGAAGAAAUGCUCCACCUAAUUGUGCAAAUACAUGGUAUGCAAAGGGGAUUUAUUGUAAAUUUGACAAGUAAUUAAAUCAGGUGAUGAAGAUGAACAUAGUUUAAUCGAACAGCUCUGCCAGACAUUGAAAUUUUAACUUGUAUAGCAGCUAUUGACUGAUUUGUCAUUCUGUAGGAUUGUGUGAAAUUUCUAUUUCUAUAAUUUAUUAUUGUUUAUAAAUUAUUAUGACAAUGCUUUUCUAUUUUUUGUUUUAUGUUAACUUCUUUGUCUGUGUAUAUUAGUUUUGUUUCUCUCAAUAGUGUAGCUGUAAAGUGACUAUUCAGUGUUUUGUUUUUGCACCAAUAAUAACAUAAACAAAAUAAAAGAAGCAAAAUAAAAAUAUGUUUUAUGUAUUAAGCAAGGGUAGGUGUGAAUUUAGACCAAUGAUAGGAAGAUAAAAUUCUGGGAUUGUUUUCCUCUGAUCUUGUGACUGCAUGUAAAACAGCCUGAAGGGGGAUAUUUUCAAAAUGAAACAACACUGUUUUGUUGACGAGCUGCUGCAGACCAAAUCAGUAAAAUGUACAGUAAAUUCUCAGCUAUACACUCAUAAAAUAAAAGAUAUCCAGCUUUAUUUAACAGUAGCAGUCAUGUGUGGGCUUUGACAUGUAGAAAUUACUCAACAGGAAGUUGGAAGGGUGUGUUGAUGAUGGUGGCAGCCACGAAAAAACAUUCGUCACCCACUAGUUUAACAAUGUGACCAUCCUCACGUUCACCACCACGUCUUACCUUUCACCUCAUUCCCAAAAAGCUGUUGUUGCAAACACAGAAUCAUUGACAAGCGUGUGUGUGUGUGUGUGUGUGUGUGUGUGUGUGUGUGUGUGUGCGUGUGUGUGUGUGCGCGUGCGCAUAUGUCACGGAGUCAGUGUUGCAUCAGCAAAAGACUCACAAUCACACAUCAGAUGCAGCAAUUUGUCGUAUUUUUCCCAGUUGUUAUCAAAAAACAUCAACAACAACCCAAAAGAACACCAUGGUGACAUCUGUGGUUAGGCAGGCAGGUCAGCCAGCUUUGUUUACAUGUGGACUGAUGUUGCCGUCAUCACGCUUUGCUGCGUGUAAGAGAAAGGAUGUGGAUUUCAAAGCACCAGGGGAAGCACCAGUUAUUUAUGCUAUGACCUACAUGCGCGAACUUAGCCUAUGACAGUUCUGUAUGUCACAUUGUCUUAACCGUUGGUCCUCAACAGCAGCAGCUAGGGGGACAGGAACAGGAACAGGAACUGCUUAUGGGUGAAUGUCUCAACAGACGUAACCAAAGCCAUCAACCUCUGACUGAGACACUGCAGUUUAAUGAGAACAACAAUAACACGUAGCUUUUACAUUUGAGAAAAAACAAUUGCUCAGUGUGGUUAGGAAAAACAGCUAUAUUCUUAAGAUAGAUCACCAUGUUUAUGCAAGGAAUAAAGGGUGGGCUGUUGCCAGUGUAGUACCACAAUGUAAAAAUAUUCCAUUGCAAAUUGAAGUCCUGCCUUCAAAAUCACACUUGAGUGCAGAGGUAUUAUCAGCAAAAUGUACACAAAUGAUCAAAAGUAAAAGUACUUGUUUUGCAGAAAAAUGGCCUCUGUGACUGAUUAGUGAUUAGUAUCACUGAUCUAGCAGGUUGAGGUGGAGCUAGUUUUAAAUAUCUUAUAUACAGUUAGCUACAGGAAAAACCUGUGUCUCAGUAUGGUAGGCGGCACCUUCAGAGCUUUGAGUUUGUGGAACUCUGGGAUGAACACUAUUCCUCCACCUGUUUUUCCAUCAUUUGGAUAUAACACCUUUAUUUAAUCAGGUAAUUGCAUUGAGAUCAGGAUUUUUUUUUUCAAGAGCGAGCUGAGUACAGCAGAUAGAAAGAAAAACAAACAUAGCCAGUCGUAAAACAAAAGGACAAAUAGCAUCAGAGACAGUCACAGACGUCACUAAAUAGAUUUGAAGAUUAAAGUUCAUAUUUUAUCAUUUGGUGUUAUGGAGAAAGUGGUGGAGAGCAUUGUCUUACACAGGUCUUCUACAAGGUCUUAAACUAGGCUGAGAUCUGGUGACUGUAAAGGCCGUAGUGUUUUAUUCACAUCAUUUCUAAACUUAACAAACCAUUUAGUGAGCCCUGGAGCACAGAAACAUUUGUAUUUGAUAUGUUUCUCUUUCUCUUUUAUUCAGGUUUUUUCCGCCUAUUUUGGUCCCCAUCUGUAGUUUAGCCCAGUAUUUCACAGCCUAGGGGUGAGGCCCCUCCAAAGGGUCACAAGAUAAAUCUGAGGGGUCGUGAGAUCAAAAAUGGGGUAGGAAAGAAGAAACAAUAAAGUUCAUCUGCACAUAACUUUAACCUCUUUCGGCCCUUAACAGUUAUUUGAAUUAAACCAUCUGAGUUUAAGUUUAGAUUUAGAAAAUCUCUCUCCACUGGAGCUAACUGCUGGAAAGGGGCCCCAACUAGACACUGCCUUUUUAGUGAGGAGGCAAAGACGUUGGGAAUCACUGGUUUAAUCUUUAAAGAUGCUGGUAGGUGGAUCUUGUUACCUCUGAACAGAGCCAGGCUAGCUGUUUCCCUGUUUCGAGUCUUUAUGCUAUGCAAUGCUAACCGGUUGGCGGCUUCAUAUUUAAAGUACAGACAGGAGACAUACUGAUUGUCUUAACUAGACACAUAAGUGCAUUUCAGAAAAUUUCAAACUAUUCCUUUAACAAUACAUUGUAUUUUAUAAGCUUGUGUUUUUUAAUGCAAAGUAUGAAUUUGAGAAGUAACUACUAACUAAAGCUGUCAGAUAAAUAUAAUGGAGUAAAAAGUACUUCAUGCUUAAGUACAAUUCUUGAGUAAAUGUGCUGAGUUACUUUUCACCACAGGUCAAUACUGAAAGCUGUCUAAUACUGAGUCACUCCCCUGGAUUUCAUAGGUUUUGAAAUGAUAAGGGCAUGAAGAAACAUGGUACACCUGACAGUGUACUCACACUUCCUGGUAUCAAGCUUCUAUUGUACAGCCCUGGAGUGUUUCUCUUCGUGACUCAGACUUUGCAGAGUCACACUUGGAAAGAUCUGACUCCCCUCACAUUCAGGAAUUUCCUGAUCCCUGCUCGGCUCCCUGUGAAAAAGAUCUGCAGGCUACAAAAGAGGCUUACAGUAAAAGAUCGUCCCACCCACCCUCACAGCUGGCCAGCCAUUGGGAAGUUCCAGGUUAAUAACUAAACUGAGGACACAUGCUGAAAGAGUCAGCAAGGCAGGGCAGAUAUCCUUUUGGGUCAACUGUGAAUGUGGAGUCAGCAGUGUGCACAAUAUGGCUGAGUAAGUCGGCACUGUGGGACAACACAUAGUGCACUUUUGACAUCUGUUCAUGUCACUUGUUUUUGGGGAGCUGUCAUAGUCUGGUAUUGAAUUUCCUACCAAAAUAAAGAACAUUAAAAUGUGUAGGCAGGAUAGAUGACGUAAAUAGAUAUGACAUACAUUCAAAAUGACAUUUAACUUAUUUACAAUUAGUAAAGUUACGAAAUGACAAAACUCAAAGAGCAUGAGUCAUGACAACACUGUCAGAUCAGGCUGUGCGCACUUUCAAAAACAACUGUGGCUUUAAGAAGACUUCCGGCCCCUGGUCACACCUUGAUUGUAGUUUUCCUACUGUAGGUGAGUCCAGCUUGUUCCGUCUUGCCUGUUCACUUUGACGUCAACACAGUGGUGGUGGUGGUGGUGGUGGUGGUGCUAUUACUCACUCUGUUUAAGUUGCAUUCCUGUACAGCACGUACCAGUGCCUGCCUCUUAUUUCCCAAACAGGAAGUUCUAGCCAGGACUGUUGCCAAAUCAUCUGUACUACAACAGUGUGGUGGAAUUUACUCAAGCAAUUCCUGUGUCUCAAGACAUGUUGUUCCUUCCUUUAGCAUUCACCUCGAUCUAAACCUAAACUUCAAUCUUGGGCCUUGUUUAGUGGAGCAGUUUGGACAUCAGCUUUAUAAUUUUGUGUGUUUGUGUAUUAAUAGGAACUUGUGUGUAUUGAGAAACAAAUUUUCAUCAGUAAUGCCUGUGGUUUAAUAAAAUGAGAGCAAUA